rnacentral:rRNA from 1 species
CGCGGCCUAUCAGCUUGUUGGCGGGGUAACGGCCCACCAAGGCAACGACGGGUAGCUGGUUUGAGAGAACGAUCAGCCACACUGGAACUGAGACACGGUCCAGACUUCUACGGAAGGCAGCAGUAGGGAAUCUUGCGCAAUGGGCGAAAGCCUGACGCAACGACGCCGCGUGCGGGAUGACGGCCCUAGUGGUUGUAAACCGCUUUCAGCAGGGACGAAAAUGACGGUACCUGCAGAAGAAGUCCCGGCUAACUACGUGCCAGCAGCCGCGGUAAUACGUAGGGGACAAGCGUUGUCCGGAUUCAUUGGGCGUAAAGAGCUCGUAGGCGGUUCAGUAAGUUGGGUGUGAAAGCUCCGGGCUCAACCCGGAGAGGCCACUCAAUACUGCUGUGACUAGAGUCCAGUAGAGGAGCGUGGAACUCCUGGUGUAGCGGUGAAAUGCGCAGAUAUCAGGAAGAACACCGGCAGCGAAGGCGGCGCUCUGGGCUGGUACUGACGCUGAGGAGCGAAAGCAUGGGUAGCAAACAGGAUUAGAUACCCUGGUAGUCCAUGCCGUAAACGUUGGGCACUAGGUGUGGGGAGGAAUCAACCCUCUCCGUGCCGUAGCUAACGCAUUAAGUGCCCCGCCUGGGGAGUACGG